rnacentral:lncRNA from 1 species
UUUAUUUCCUUUAGUUUUUUUAAUUCUUUUGCCUCUUGUAAUGAUAGUGUGACCCCUCCUUUUUAUUAUUUCUUUUACCUUUUUUAUUGCUUUACUUUUUAGUUUAUUUUAUUGUAUUUUUAGUUGAUACUUAAUUGUUAAUCCAAAAAGACAAAAUGAUCAUUAAAAUUAAUCUUUCAACAUCGAGUUUGAUCAACAUCGAGUAUAUUUUUCAAAUCACACUAAGCCUUUUUCUUUAAUAAGCACCUCAUAUCAUUUCAAACAAUUUCACAAGCCAUUUUCAUUAAUGCGAUAAAACACUCUAUCAACAUCGAGUUUCUCUUCCACUUACUCAACUCGUUAAUCUUUUCUUAAACAAAUAUGAAAGAAAUGGGUCCUUGGAGUCUCUCAUUUCUUGAAUCCUUGAUUGAUUUCUCUCGAGGCACACAUCUUGGGUUAUCUUUUCAUUCAGUCUUCAUUUCAAAAAUACUUAACAUAAUAACUUGGACGAAAAGAUGGGUCAUUGGAGUCUAGCAUUCUGGUGGAACCUUUGAACAAUCUUUUGAAUGUUCAUUGUCCAUCAAACAAUUUCUUGAAUACAUUGAAUGAAAAAGGUAUUGUUGAAGUCUAUCAUUCCGGCCAUAUCCCGAAUAAUUGGUUCCGACGCCCACGUCUCAUUCUUACUGAAUA